rnacentral:tRNA from 1 species
GAGGGUACAGCUCAGUGGUAGAGCACAUGCUUAGCAUGCACAAGGUCCUGGGUUCAGUCCCCAGUACCUCCU